GUUAUUAAUGCAAAAGUGAAAACAGCCUUUGCCAAAGUACAUUCAACCUUCACAGCAAUCAGAGACGUGAUCAUUUGAAGUAAACUUUCUUAUUUGUAUUGAAGAAUGAAUAUGUGGAUGUACUUGGGGAUAUUGUGGUACUUUGUAAUGAUGUUAAAGUGUAUUGAUGCAAAUAGACUGAAAACCGCUACAUUAUCAAAUGUUCUUAAAGAAGUAAAAAAUGACGUAUUGGGAGUGACGGAAAUGCAGAGUUUCUUUGAUAAAUCAACCUUUGUUCUGAGUGAUGAGCCUGAUGUGAAUGGGAAAUACCACGCGAAUAGACUUGCAAACAUUUUGAGGCAAAGAUUUCAGGGAAACAUUCAAGCCGUUCAAAAGAUUAAAGAAACUGUUGAAAAAUCCUACGAAGACAACGAUGUCACAUCAUCACCAACAAGACCUGAAUGUUGUAAAGUUGAGGGAACUAAAACAGACCACAGGUUCAAGACAAAGAUAAUUAGUGAUCAGUUUUGCGAAAUCCAUGCAAAAUAUACUUAUAAAGGUGCAAAACAUUUUUCAAAAAGCUUGGAAAAAACGAUGAAAAAUAAUUUGGAAAAUAAUCCUGAUUUACGAUGGCAAUAUUUUGGAUCGCAAGAAGGAAUUUCAUCGAUUUAUCCUUCAAAUAAAUUUUCAUCUUGUGAUAGCUACGACAACCGUCUUCGUCCUUGGUACAUUAAAGGUAUCGCUCCCGAAGCAAAAGAUAUCGUUAUUGUUGUGGAUAAAAGUGAAUCCAUGGCAAUGAUCAGCGGAGGAAAAACAUUGAUAAGUAUUGCUCAGUCUGCUGUGGACACUGUACUAGAUGCAUUAAAUCCUCAAGAUCGAGUCGGUUUAGUAACAUUCAAUAGCGAAGCAGAAACUCCACCGGGCGAAAAAAGCUCUAGUACAUGUUAUAAAAACGAGCUUGCAACUGCUGUUGGAGUUAAUUUGAAAUACCUGAAAAAGUAUAUGAGAAAUAUAAAAACAGAAGGUCGCAGCGUUUAUGGAAAUGCUAUUCGUAAAGCGUUUUCUUUAUUGAAAACAAAUUCCACUGGGAGUGGAAACGAGAACGCAAGAAAGAAAGUGAUUCUAUUUUUAACCGACGGACAACCAACGGAUAUUAAUGAAAAUUUUACGGCCUUACUCACCGAAGAGAAAAAAUCUCUUAAGAUUGUAACCUCAAAGGAUGUUGUCAUCUUUGCUUACGGAAUAGGAUCAGGAGAUUUUAGUCUUUUGAAGAAAAUUGCCGAAGCCACAGAAGCUGAAGGAACAAAGGGAAGAUUUACAGAAAUAACUCAAGAAAAUUUAGAUGAGUUACGAUUGGUCUUUGCAUCUUUUUACAAUUUCUUUGCAAGAACGACAAAAUACUCUUCUCAUUACAUAACAAGCCCUUACUUUGAUGCUUCAGGUUUAGGUGAGAUGGUGACCAUACUCGCCCCAUGUUUUUACCAACAGAGAGUAAUUGGAGUUGUGGGCACAGAUGUCGUGUUUGAAGAUUUAAUUUCUGACGUAGAGUUAUUUUAUAUCGGACAGUAUUCUUAUGCGUUUUUGAUUGAGAGCAGCACUGGAAACACUAUCUACCAUCCAUAUAUGCCCAGAACUACUGCUGUCAAUGACGAUAUAGUUCUGCUUCAUAUUACAGCUUUAGAGCAGGAAGAUGAGUUUAACGAUUUUGUCUUGCCGUCAAUGAUGAGGAGAGAAGAAGGAAGUAGAAACUUUAUCAGUAGAAGAUAUUCAAAGAUUGGAAGUGGAGGUGUAGAAGCGCUUUUGAUAAAUUCAACAUAUCAUUGGCAGGCAAUUCAAGGAACGUCUUUGAGCUUCUGUGUAGUUCUUGCCAACAAUGAAAUACAAAGUAGGCUAGACGCUCUUUCAACUGUUUCCAGUGAAAAUUCCUUUGUCUAUCAUCUUGAAGUCAACUCACCCAAAGGAAGCAAUGACUUUAAAAUAUGUUCUCUAUAUGGUGUUAAGGGCACAACAGAAAGAGGAACUGUGAAGUUUUCUCCAAAAUGCUUUGAAAAGCCCUAUGAUUAUAUAUCUCUUAAAGAAACAGAUAAAACAAUUAAAGCGUUUAAGAAUUACAUAAUAAAUGGUCGAUCUAAUCCUGAACCAAAAUUUGUGAAUGGAGUUCGAAAAAUGGCUCUUGCUGCAUUAGAAACUGAGAGCAUUUGGGACAGGCAUAAAUCAAGAUUCAAACGUUACACAUCGUUUCGAACGUUUGCUUCAACCAAUGGGGUGAUAUAUACUAAACCAGGUGUUGCUAUUAAUAAGCGCUAUAAUCCCACAACACUUUCGUGGUUUCAAAAUGCUCUAAAUAGCAAAGGAAAGCUGACGAUAACCACUCCGUAUCUUGACUCUUUCGGUGCAGGUCUUAUUGUGGGUGUUUCUCAUACUCUUUAUGAAGGGAAGUCUAACCAACAACAUAACGUCAAUGACAACGUAAUCGCUGUGUUAGACGCCAGUUUUGAUAUGUUUAAAUUUUACAGACUUCUUGUAGAAACAUAUCCUGAAUGUGAGAAAAGGUACAGAUGCUUCCUGAUGGAUGAAAGCGGGUUUUUAUUAAUCCACAAUGACUUUAUUAAAUUGGAAUCAGUGUUAGAUUUGAAAAAGCUGGCGCAAAACGUUGGCAGUACUCAUAUCACACAGGCAGAGCAAUCAGUUGCUGCAGACAUGAUUAAGAGAAAACUUAUGUAUCGAAAUAAAUGCAAAAACUUCAAAGACAUAACCAAUAAAAAUUUCUAUGUAGUAAACAUAACCACUGAUGCUUAUGUUGAUACGGAACAAUGUCCAAAAUAUCAAAUCGGUCGGGUCGAUGGUACAGCAGUUUAUCUCGGCAUCAUCUAUAAUUGUCCUCAAACCAGUGGUGCGUGUUAUUGCCCAGAUGGUAUCUACAAAAUAAAAGGGAAUGAAGAAUGUUUAUGUCCAUUCAAAUCAUCCCUACAUUACAAUUAUUGCAAAACUAUUUUCCAAAAGCAGAGAUCCUUUGUGUCCGGUAUCUCCUUCGUUACUUUUCAAUCUUGAGAAUUCUCUUGAUCCUCCUAAAGAUUUGCAGAACUGUUAUAAUGAAAAUUGUGUGGGAAAGGCUGCUGGAGAAUCCUGUUAUGGCUUAAGAUCAUGUACUUGGUGUGUUUAUAAAAAAGAAACGUCGACAUCUUUGAAAACUCCAUAUUGCACAAAUUCUGAGAAAUGUUAUGGUGGCGUCCAAGGAAACAAAAGAUCUAUUCUCUACCCAAGAAAUGAAGGUACGUGUAUCGUAUAAGUUCACUUUUCAAUUACGAUUACAUUUAUUGCAAGUAUAUUGUUAGUAACAUCUAAGAAACACGCGAGAAAGUUUUUGAGAAACGAGAAUUUGCUUUCAAGCACGAGCACAAAGUGCGAAUGUUUCCAAGCGAUUUCGAGUUCUUACCAAACUUUUAGAAGCGCUCAUUUAACUCAAUAGGAACAAGUAAAUACGUUUUCUAUUCCUAUCAUAAAAUAAUCUUUUUAAAACAAAAUUAAAAAUAUAAAUUUCUUAAUUUAA